rnacentral:rRNA from 1 species
ACAUUGGGACUGAGAUACGGCCCAGACUCCUACGGGAGGCAGCAGUGGGGAAUAUUGGGCAAUGGAGGAAACUCUGACCCAGCAAUGCCGCGUGAAUGAAGAAGGUCUUCGGAUUGUAAAGUUCUUUAGUUAGGGAAGAAUAAAAUGACGGUACCUAAAGAAUAAGCCCCGGCUAACUACGUGCCAGCAGCCGCGGUAAUACGUAGGGGGCAAGCGUUGUUCGGAAUGACUGGGCGUAAAGGGUGCGUAGGCGGUAGUACAAGUUAGAAGUGAAAUCCCAGGGCUUAACUCGGGUGCUGCUUCUAAAACUGUACGACUUGAGUGCAGUAGAGGUUAGUGGAAUUCCUAGUGUAGCGGUGGAAUGCGUAGAUAUUAGGAGGAACACCAGAGGCGAAGGCGGCUAACUGGACUGUAACUGACGCUGAGGCACGGAAGUGUGGGGAGCAAACAGGAUUAGAUACCCUGGUAGUCCACACUGUAAACGA